rnacentral:rRNA from 1 species
CAGUCGCCGCGGGAAUACGGAGGGGGCUAGCGUUAUUCGGAAUUACUGGGCGUAAAGCGCACGUAGGCGGAUCAGAAAGUCAGAGGUGAAAUCCCAGGGCUCAACCUUGGAACUGCCUUUGAAACUCCUGAUCUUGAGGUCGAGAGAGGUGAGUGGAAUUCCGAGUGUAGAGGUGAAAUUCGUAGAUAUUCGGAAGAACACCAGUGGCGAAGGCGGCUCACUGGCUCAUUCUAGACGCUGAGGUGCGAAAGCGUGGGGAGCAAACAGGAUUAGAUACCCGCGUAGUCCCUGUCUCUUAUAC